rnacentral:rRNA from 1 species
UACAGAGGUGGCAAGCGUUGUUCGGAAUUACUGGGCGUAAAGGGCGCGUAGGCGGCCUUCUAAGUCAGACGUGAAAUCCCCGGCUUAACCUGGGAACUGCGUCUGAUACUGGGAGGCUCGAGUAUGGGAGAGGGAUGUAGAAUUCCAGGUGUAGCGGUGAAAUGCGUAGAUAUCUGGAGGAAUACCGGUGGCGAAGGCGGCAUCCUGGACCAUAACUGACGCUGAGGCGCGAAAGCUAGGGGAGCAAACGGG